rnacentral:rRNA from 1 species
GACGAACGCUGGCGGCGUGCCUAAUACAUGCAAGUAGAACGCACAGUUUAUACCGUAUCUUGCUACACCAUAGACUGUGAGUUGCGAACGGGUGAGUAACGCGUAGGUAACCUGCCUGGUAGCGGGGGAUAACUAUUGGAAACGAUAGCUAACACCGCAUCAUAUUGAUUAUUGCAUGAUACUUGAUUGAAAGCUGCUAUUGCUUCACUACUAGAUGGUCCUGCGUUGUAUUAGCUAGUAGGGCAGGUAACGGCCCACCUAGGCGGCGAUACAUAGCCGGGCUGGGGAGGUGGUCGGCCACACUGGGACUGGGACAAGGCCCAGGCUCCUACGGGGGGCAGCAGUAGGGGAUCUUCGGCAAUGGACGGAAGUCUGACCGAGCAACGCCGCGUGAGUGAAGGAGGUUUUCGGGUCGUAAAGCUCUGUUGUAAGGGAAGAACGAGUGUGAGAGUGGAAAGUUCACGCUGUGGCGGUAUCUAACCAGAAAGGGACGGCUAACUACGUG